rnacentral:rRNA from 1 species
AUAGGGGAGCCGGAGGGAAACCGAGUCUUAAUUGGGCGUUAAGUUGCAGGGUAUAGACCCGAAACCCGGUGAUCUAGCCAUGGGCAGGUUGAAGGUUGGGUAACACUAACUGGAGGACCGAACCGACUAAUGUUGAAAAAUUAGCGGAUGACCUGUGGCUGGGGGUGAAAGGCCAAUCAAACCGGGAGAUAGCUGGUUCUCCCCGAAAGCUAUUUAGGUAGCGCCUCGUGAAUUCAUCUCCGGGGGUAGAGCACUGUUUCGGCUAGGGGGCCAUCCCGGCUUACCAACCCGAUGCAAACUGCGAAUACCGGAGAAUGUUAUCACGGGAGACACACGGCGGGUGCUAACGUCCGUCGUGAAGAGGGAAACAACCCAGACCGCCAGCUAAGGUCCCAAAGUCAUGGUUAAGUGGGAAACGAUGUGGGAAGGCCCAGACAGCCAGGAUGUUGGCUUAGAAGCAGCCAUCAUUUAAAGAAAGCGUAAUAGCUCACUGGUCGAGUCGGCCUGCGCGGAAGAUGUAACGGGGCUAAACCAUGCACCGAAGCUGCGGCAGCGACACUCAGGUGUUGUUGGGUAGGGGAGCGUUCUGUAAGCCUGCGAAGGUGGCCUGUGAGGGUUGCUGGAGGUAUCAGAAGUGCGAAUGCUGACAUAAGUAACGAUAAAGCGGGUGAAAAGCCCGCUCGCCGGAAGACCAAGGGUUCCUGUCCAACGUUAAUCGGGGCAGGGUGAGUCGACCCCUAAGGCGAGGCCGAAAGGCGUAGUCGAUGGGAAACGGGUUAAUAUUCCCGUACUUGGUGUUACUGCGAAGGGGGGACGGAGAAGGCUAUGUUGGCCGGGCGACGGUUGUCCCGGUUUAAGCGUGUAGGUGUGUGUUCCAGGUAAAUCCGGUU